rnacentral:rRNA from 1 species
AUGGAGCUGGGAUCUUCCAGAUCGAGCGCCGGUAGGGUAGGCGCCUCCGCCGCCCAAGUCCAAGAUCCCACCUCCGCCGCCGGUAGGGAUCUUCCAGACCAGCGCAAGGUCUUCCGCGUCGCUGACCAUGCCGGGGUCGCGCUCGCCGGCCUCACCGCCAUCUUCCUCCACGAGCUGCAGCACAUCCUCGCCAACCACCUGCAGACCCAGACCGCCACCACUGGCAACACAUGCGUCGUGGCCUGCGGCGCCGCCGCCGCCAAGGACCACCUCUUCAAGGGGUCGCAGGAGCAGCCGGGCCUGGUCACCAUCGCCAUGGAGGAGAUCCUCCGGUUCGCGGCGUCCGACGGUGGCACCGCCAGGGUGUCGUCGUACCAGGUGGUGCAGGACACCCACGUCUUUGAUCUGCUUGAUCUGCUUGAAUCGUCAGGGUUUUUAUCCGUCUUCCUUUGCAGGUUCAUGUCAAGUCAGUUGAGGAUUUCGCGCGGCUGGGCUGUUUCGAUGAGAACCAGGACAAGCAGCAGCCCACCAAAGCUUCUUCCACCCAGCAGCAUCCCACUAAACUGA